GAGUUUGAUCGUGGCUCAGGAUGAACGCUAGCGGCAGGCCUAACACAUGCAAGUCGAGGGGUAGAGGAAGCUUGCUUCCUUGAGACCGGCGCACGGGUGCGUAACGCGUAUGCAAUCUACCUUGUACAGGGGGAUAGCCCAGAGAAAUUUGGAUUAAUACCCCAUGGUGUUAAGGUGUGGCAUCACAUUUUAACUAAAGUUCCAACGGUACAAGAUGAGCAUGCGUCCCAUUAGCUAGUUGGUGUGGUAACGGCAUACCAAGGCAAUGAUGGGUAGGGGUCCCUGAGAGGGAGAUCCCCCACACUGGUACUGAGACACGGACCAGACUCCUACGGGAGGCAGCAGUGAGGAAUAUUGGUCAAU
rnacentral:rRNA from 1 species